GACUCUGUAGCUCAGCUGAUUAAUAGAGCGCUGCACCGUAAUUGCAGGACCGCAGGUUCUAUUCCUGCCAGAGGGC